rnacentral:rRNA from 1 species
UACGUAGGUGGCGAGCGUUGUCCGGAAUUAUUGGGCGUAAAGGGAGCGCAGGUGGGAAAGUAAGUCUGUCUUAAAAGUUCUGGGCUUAACCCAGUGAGGGGACAGAAACUAUUUUUCUUGAGUGCAGGAGAGGAAAGCGGAAUUCCUAGUGUAGCGGUGAAAUGCGUAGAUAUUAGGAGGAACACCGGUGGCGAAGGCGGCUUUCUGGACUGUAACUGACACUGAGGCUCGAAAGCGUGGGGAGCGAACA